rnacentral:rRNA from 1 species
GACGAGGGCGCGAGCGUUGUCCGGAAUUAUUGGGCGUAAAGAGCUUGUAGGCGGCUUGCCGCGUCUGCUGUGAAAAUCCGAGGCUCAACCUCGGACUUGCAGUGGGUACGGGCAGGCUAGGAGUGUGGGUAGGGGAGACUGGAAUUCCUGGUGUAGCGGUGAAAUGCGCAGAUAUCAGGAGGAACACCGGUGGCGAAGGCGGGUCUCUGGGCCGAUACUGACGCUGAGGAGCGAAAGCGUGGGGAGCGAACAGG